rnacentral:rRNA from 1 species
GAUGAACGCUAGCGGCAGGCCUAACACAUGCAAGUCGAGGGAGAAGCCCUUUCGGGGGCAGAAACCGGCGCACGGGUGCGUAACGCGUAUGCAACCUACCUUUCACAGGGGGAUAGCCCGAAGAAAUUUGGAUUAAUACUCCAUAAUAUUAUUGGAUGGCAUCAUUUGAUAAUUAAAACUGCGGUGGUGAAAGAUGGGCAUGCGUCCUAUUAGCUAGUUGGAGUGGUAACGGCACCCCAAGGCUACGAUAGGUAGGGGUCCUGAGAGGGAGAUCCCCCACACUGGUACUGAGACAGGGACCAGACGCCUACGGGAGGCAGCAGUGAGGAAUAUUGGUCAAUGGUCGGAAGACUGAACCAGCCAUGCCGCGUGCAGGAAGAAUGCCUUAUGGGUUGUAAACUGCUUUUAUAUGGGAAGAAUAAGGCGUACGUGUACGUUGAUGACGGUACCAGAUGAAUAAGCAUCGGCUAACUCCGUG